rnacentral:tRNA from 1 species
GGUCAGGUAGCUCAGUUGGUAGAGCAAGGGACUGAAAAUCCCUGUGUCGACGGUUCAAUUCCGCCCCUGACCACCA